rnacentral:rRNA from 1 species
AUAUCAAUAAGCGGAGGAAAAGAAACUAACAAGGAUUCCCCUAGUAACUGCGAGUGAAGCGGGAAAAGCUCAAAUUUGAAAUCUGGCGGUUCUGAACCGUCCGAGUUGUAAUCUAGAGAAGUGUUACCUGUGCUGGACCGUGUAAAAGUCUUCUGGAAUGGAGCGUCGUAGAGGGUGAGAAUCCCGUCUUUGACAUGGACCACCAGUGCUGAUGGUGCGCUCUCGAAGAGUCGAGUUGUUUGGGAAUGCAGCUCAAAAUGGGUGGUAAAUGCCAUCUAAAGCUAAAUAUUGGCGAGAGACCGAUAGCGCACAAGUA